UCUCUAAUUCAUCUUUAUUUUUUCUAUUCUUACAUUGUAAGAUCCCAGGUUAUCUAGCAGGGAAGAUUAAGUACAAAGCAUGAAGCAGACAUGCUUCAACAAAAAGGACUGGGUGGGGGUGAGGCUUGACCAGCAGUGUGCAUGUGAAGAAUUUGGCCAAACAACUUUGUAGAUCUAGCAAUUCUAUUAGGGGCAGUUGAAUAAGCAAAGGUGGUUCAGAUUGUGUCUUUCGGCAGCGAGGCUGGUGGGAGGAGAAAGCCUAAAAUCAAGCAAUUUUUUUGGGUUUGUACAUUUACUAAAUUGCUUCAGAGUUUAUUACGAUAUGCUUUCAACUUUCAAUAAAAGUGCUUUUUGGGACUACAUGGGAAAAAAAUAUCAUCGAAAUAUAUUGAAGUGAGAUUUUGUUUA